CGGGAAGUAGCUCAGCCUGGUAGAGCACUGUGCUGGGGGCGCAGGGGUCGCAGGUUCGAAUCCUGUCUUCCCGACCA
rnacentral:tRNA from 1 species